rnacentral:rRNA from 1 species
UUAACAAAAACAUGUCCUUUUGAUUUUUAUUUAAGGUUUAAUCUGCCCAAUGAUUAUUAUUCAAUGGCCGCGAUAUUUUGAUCGUGCGAAGGUAGCAUAGUCAUUAGCUUUUUAAUUGAGAGCUGGUAUGAAUGAUUGGACGAGAGAUUUUCUGUCUCUAUUUUAUAUUUUGAAUUUUAUUUUUGAGUUAAAAAGCUUAAAUUUUUUUGUAAGACGAGAAGACCCUAUAGAGUUUUAUACUUUGGGAUUUUAAGUUGAUUUUAGAAUUAAGUCUUUAUAGUUUGAAGGUAUUUAUUUGGGGUGAUGGAAAAAUUUAAUUAACUUUUUCUUUUUAUAAUAUUGAUUUAUAGGUUUUUGACUUACUUUUGUAGUUAAAAGAUUAAAUUACCUUAGGGAUAACAGCGUAAUUUUUCUAAAGAGUUCAUAUCGAAAGAAAAGAUUGCGACCUCGAUGUUGGAUUAAAGUUAACAUUUGGUGUAGAAGCUAAGUAUUUUAGUCUGUUCGACUAUUCAAACUUUACAUGAUCUGAGUUUAAACCGGCGUGAGCCAGGUUGGUUUCUAUCUUCAAUAUUUUAAAAUAUUUUAGUACGAAAGGACCAAAUAUUUUUUAUAUUAAUUUAUUUUUGAUUAAUAUU